rnacentral:rRNA from 1 species
GGGAUGAGCCCGCGUACCAUUAGCUUGUUGGUAGGGUAAUGCCCUACCAAGGCAACGAUGGUUAGCUGGUCUGAGAGGAUGAUCAGCCACACUGGAACUGACACACGGUCCAGACUCCUACGGGAGGCAGCAGUGAGGAAUUUUGCGCAAUGGGGGAAACCCUGACGCAGCAACGCCGCGUGAGUGAUGAAGGCCUUCGGGUCGUAAAGCUCUGUCAAGUGGGAAGAAUCUGUGGUAUGUAAAUAUCAUAUUGCAAUGACGGUACCACUGAAGGAAGCACCGGCUAACUCCGUGCCAGCAGCCGCGGUAAUACGGAGGGUGCAAGCGUUAUUCGGAAUUACUGGGCGUAAAGGGCGCGUAGGCGGCUUUUUAAGUCAGAUGUGAAAGCCCGGAGCUUAACUCCGGAAGUGCAUCUGAAACUAAAAAGCUUGAGUAUGGGAGAGGGAAGUGGAAUUCCUGGUGUAGAGGUGAAAUUCGUAGAUAUCAGGAGGAACACCGGUGGCGAAGGCGACUUCCUGGACCAAUACUGACGCUGAGGCGCGAAGGCGUGGGGAACAAACAGGAUUAGAUACCCUGGUAGUCCACGCAGUAAACGGGAGACACUAGGUGUAGCGGGUAUUGAUCCCCGCUGUGCCGUAGCUAACGCAUUAA